ensembl:lncRNA
GUUCUGUACAUGCAAACUAUAUAGAAUAAUAUAGUUGAGUUUAAUUCUUGAUUAUAUCCUGUGCAUGCCAUUGAAAUUAAUAUAUGUUAUACAAUAAUUGAAAUACAAAACAAAAAAUACAAACAUGUAUUUUCUGUCAGUAUUUUCCUUCAUUACUCCCGUUUUUAGUCUGAAGCAGAAUGUAUUUAGUUAAGGUCCUCAGCCAUUCAGUUUUUGGAAAGUGGCUUAGAUAAUUUACCUUGACCACAGCUAUGACAAAAAUAUCACCAAAAGGUUUAAAAAAUUGAUUAUCAGCAGUCAACCUUGUGAUGUUACCUAAACAAAAUCACUCAGUGCCAUCUAAAAUCCACUAGAUCAUCAUAAAACUCCCAUACAUUUGGAGCUGGAAGUUUCAACACAAAUAUAGAAUUCUUUAGGAGGUGAGUAAAUUCAAACUUUGAACCUUCAGUGACCUCAUUGGGCAGUGAAGGGCAGUGAAUCCAAAAUUCCUUAUUUACUUGUUACUUAUUUUUUUAUCCUUUCUUAAGGCAAGAUUGUUAAGAUUCUGGUCCAUCUCAACAGAUUCUCACUACCUCCUUGUGGUGAAACAUCCAUGUCUUAAGAGUUAAACAUACUGAACAAGAAGACAUCAUGAGACUGAGUAUGUUUAGACAACUGAAUUCCACUCGCAUUGCCUCCCUAGUAUCUCCGACCUUCUACAUGGUGCAGGAGCUGGCUAGCUCACCCACAGCUCUGCGCCAAGAGCAGGACACACCUUGGGAGCCAGCACAGUUUAGUUGUCAGGCACAAGUGGAGGUAAGGAUAAGGUCUUUUGUUUUGGGUUCUAAGGAAGGCUUUUUUGCUGGGAGGGUCCAAGGACAAAAGACAAAGAAAUUGGGUGUGCAGGAGCUUUUAUAGAGGGGAGGUCUCGGGGUGAGGGUACAAUCUUGAACCAAUAAGGAACAUACAGGGGAGGAGUACAUGGCGGGGUUUACAAUAUAGCAACCAAUGAGAACACACAAGGGGAGGGGAACAACUUACAUAAACCAAUGUGGCUGCGGGCAACAUAAAAUUGGCAUAGAAGUCUCUGGAACAAAGGGUUGGCACAAAGUGGGCCUGACAACUCCAUGGAAGGCGAGACAGGGAACUUUCUGGAUAAAAGGGGCACGUCUAGGUGACUUGAAAUAUGGUGCCCAGAAUUUGAGACAAGGCUGCAUCUGUGCCCUUACAAGGACUCGACAAAGAAGAAUCUAUUUUAUAUACUGCGAAGCAGACUAGGAAAUCAUUCCUGCUUCUUCCAGCUUUUGCUCUUCACUGCUUUCCAUCAACACCAAAAGUUUUCAUUUCAAGAGAGGUCAAAACAAUCAUCAGUUAGAUAUUCCGAUUCAGUUUUAUUCAUCUUGCUGUGUAUUAUACAUAAACAUAUAUACACUUGUUUUUACUUACUACUAGGUCCCCUGUCUAUUAAUUAAUUUUCUUUCUGCCUCCUAUUUUAUCUGUUUUAAUAAAACAAAAUUGUUUUAAAGACA